GACGAACGCUGGCGGCGUGCUUAACACAUGCGAGUCGAACGGAAAGGCCCUGCUUUUGUGGGGUGCUCGAGUGGCGAACGGGUGAGUAACACGUGAGUAACCUGCCCUUGACUUUGGGAUAACUUCAGGAAACUGGGGCUAAUACCGGAUAGGAGCUCCUGCUGCAUGGUGGGGGUUGGAAAGUUUCGGCGGUUGGGGAUGGACUCGCGGCUUAUCAGCUUGUUGGUGGGGUAGUGGCUUACCAAGGCUUUGACGGGUAGCCGGCCUGAGAGGGUGACCGGCCACAUUGGGACUGAGAUACGGCCCAGACUCCUACGGGAGGCAGCAGUGGGGAAUAUUGCACAAUGGGCGGAAGCCUGAUGCAGCAACGCCGCGUGCGGGAUGACGGCCUUCGGGUUGUAAACCGCUUUCGCCUGUGACGAAGCGUGAGUGACGGUAAUGGGUAAAGAAGCAUCGGCUAACUACGUG
rnacentral:rRNA from 1 species